rnacentral:lncRNA from 1 species
GGGAUUUGGCUAUGGCGCGUAGCUUAGCCAUUCUAUCCUUCCCCAGCAUCAUAUCUGCAUUAUUGGCCCACAGUUACCAAACAACACAAAAAUUUGGUGUUUAACAAUGCACAGAAAGACAAGCAGUAUAAGACAAUGCAUGGGGAAAGCUAAAACUACACACAAGUCAGAACAGCAUCGUCAAAGCAAAGGCAGGACGAUACAAGUAUAAGCUAAGGGAACUCAAGAACGAACCUAUGUGAACGUCUAGUUGGCCUUCGAGAAAC